UAAUGAGUUUGAUAUAGUAUGUCCAUCUCACAAGAAAGAAGGACCAAAAUUAAAAACUAAAUCCUCAUCAAAUGGGUUUUCGCUUCCAUCAACAUAUCCUCUUGGGAAUUUUAUUUGUUGCUUUGAUUCUAACUUCAGGCGGACUAACGACUGGACAAUUUAUUCCAGGCUAUACUUGUGUGGCAAAAUGCAUAAAUUCGCCAGACUGCAAGCAAUCUUGUAUUAGUCGUGAUUUUAAGAUUGACAGUAAAUGUUUAAAUUUUUUUAAUAUUAAUCUUUGUUGUUGUAAGUAAUUGAUUAAUAUUGUACCCAUGGUUAUUUUAUAAAACUACAAUAAAAUGGAUACUUGAAAAAUGA